rnacentral:rRNA from 1 species
GAUGAACGCUGGCGGCGUGCCUAAUACAUGCAAGUCGAGCGAACGGACGAGAAGCUUGCUUUUCUGAUGUUAGCGGCGGACGGGUGAGUAACACGUGGAUAACCUACCUUUAAGAAUGGGAUAACUUCGGGAAAACGGAGCUAAUACCGGAUAAUAAUUUGAAUCGCAUGGUUCAAAAGGGCAAGACGGUCUUGUCGUCACUUAUUGAUGGAUCCGCGCUGCAUUAGCUAAUUGGUAAGGUAACGGCUUACCAAGGCAACGAUGCAUAGCCGACCUGAGAGGGUGAUCGGCCACACUGGAACUGAGACACGGUCCAGACUCCUACGGGAGGCAGCAGUAGGGAAUCUUCCGCAAUGGGCGAAAGCCUGACGGAGCAACGCCGCGUGAGUGAUGAAGGUCUUCGGAUCGUAAAACUCUGUUAUUAGGGAAGAACAUAUGUGUAAGUAACUGUGCACAUCUUGACGGUACCUAAUCAGAAAGCCACGGCUAACUACGUG